rnacentral:rRNA from 1 species
CCUACGGGUGGCAGCAGUGGGGAAUAUUGCACAAUGGGGGAAACCCUGAUGCAGCGACGCCGCGUGAGUGAAGAAGUAAUUCGGUAUGUAAAGCUCUAUCAGCAGGGAAGAAAAUGACGGUACCUGAGUAAGAAGCCCCGGCUAACGACGUGCCAGCAGCCGCGGUAAUACGGAGGGGGCAAGCGUUAUCCGGAUGUACUGGGUGUAAAGGGAGCGUAGACGGCAGUGCAAGUCUGGAGUGAAAGGCGGGGGCUCAACCACCGGACUGCUCUUGAAACUGUACGGCUGGAGUGCAGGAGAGGUAAGUGGAAUUCCUAGUGUAGCGGUGAAAUGCGUAGAUAUUAGGAGGAACACCAGUGGCGAAGGCGGCUUACUGGACUGUAACUGACGUUGAGGCUCGAAAGCGUGGGGAGCAAACAGGAUUAGAUACCCGGGUAGUC